ensembl:lncRNA
GGCUUUGCUUGCGUGGCAUCAUGCGCUGCCCGUGCUCAGGAACAGGUGUGGGCUCCCCUUCAAAACCCAACAAACGCUACCAGGAUGGAUGGCUUUUCGGGCAUGAAAUCUCCAUUCACUGAUGAUGGAGAGGGCUGUUAGGAGAUACCCAGAUCUGGUGGGAAAAGUGAGCAAUCCAACAUGCUGAAAUUUGCUGGACAGUCACAAACCAAACCAAGACAAAGCCUGAAGGAGGCUGUAAAGUAACGGCAGUGGAGUUUUCAUGUGUCUUGUCCACUGAUUCUAAAAGCAGGAAGAGGGCAACCAGAGAGGGCGAGAGGGCCGCCCACGGUCACCCACAAGCUUAGGAACAAAGUUGGCAGCAUGAGGAGUCUGGGUUCGAAUCCUAGCACAGCCGGUCGGAUCGCUAGCAGUUAAAACCUCAGAAGGACACUAAGACCCCGCAGAAAGCAGGCUCCUGGCUGAGCUUAUAUGAAAAGCCAGAACACUCCACUCAUUCACAGUCCCUGUACUUAUGCGCCUUGGAGAGUGAGGAACCCUGCGAGCGAGGGGCUUCUCCCACGAAGGUGGGAUCCAUGAGAGCCGGAAGCAUUGUUGGGGCUGGGGCCCCAGCAGUCAGAGUGGCCAGUCCCAAGCCUGGGGCAGCAGGCGAUCGUAUUUAAAAAACAAAAUAAAAU